GACGAACGCUGGCGGCGUGCUUAAUACAUGCAAGUCGAACGGAAAGGCCCUGCUUUUGUUGGGUGCUCGAGUGGCGAACGGGUGAGUAACACGUGAGUAACCUGCCCUUGACUUUGGGAUAACUUCAGGAAACUGGGGCUAAUACCGGAUAGGAUCUCCUGCUGCAUGGUGGGGGUUGGAAAGUUUCGGCGGUUGGGGAUGGACUCGCGGCUUAUCAGCUUGUUGGUGGGGUAGUGGCUUACCAAGGCUUUGACGGGUAGCCGGCCUGAGAGGGUGACCGGCGACAUUGGGACUGAGAUACGGCCCAGACUCCUACGGGAGGCAGCAGUGGGGAAUAUUGCACAAUGGGCGGAAGCCUGAUGCAGCAACGCCGCGUGCGGGAUGACGGCCUUCGGGUUGUAAACCGAUUUCGCCUGUGACGAAGCGUGAGUGACGGUAAUGGGUAAAGAAGCACCGGCUAACUACGUG
rnacentral:rRNA from 1 species